AAAUGAAUAGACGGGCACCCGCACAAGCGGUGGAGCAUGCUGUUUAAUUCGACGAUACGCGAAGAACCUUACCUAGACUUGACAUCCCCAGCAAAGCUAUAGAAAUAUAGUAGAGGUUAUCUGGGUGACAGGUGGUGCAUGGUUGUCGUCAGCUCGUGUCGUGAGAUGUUCGGUUAAGUCCGAUAACGAGCGCAACCCUUAUUAUUAGUUGCUAACAUUAAGUUGAGAACUCUAAUAAGACCGCCGGUGGUAAACCGGAGGAAGGUGGGGAUGAUGUCAAAUCAUCAUGCCCCUUAUGUCUAGGGCUACAGGCGUGCUACAAUGGCCAAUACAAAGAGAUGCAAUACUGCGAAGUGGAGCUAAUCUCCAAAAUUGGUCUCAGUUCGGAUUGGAGUCUGCAACUCGACUCCAUGAAGCUGGAAUCGCUAGUAAUCCUGAAUCAGAACGUCAGGGUGAAUACGUUCCCGGGUGUUGUACACACCGCCCGU
rnacentral:rRNA from 1 species